UUUAGAGACAUCUCAAUCUUCACCUGUUGAUCUUUAUUGUGACAAUCGCAGUGCCAUUCAAAUUGCCCACAAUGAUGUUUUCCAUGAGCGCACUAAGCAUAUAGAGAUUGAUUGUCACUUCAUUCGUCAACAUCUUCUUCGUCAUGAACUACAGCUUGUCUCCAUUGGCACUCUUGACCAGCCAGCUGAUUUGUUUACAAAACCUCAUUCUCCUAGUCGCUUCCGCAUUUUAG
rnacentral:lncRNA from 1 species